rnacentral:lncRNA from 1 species
AGAACAGGAAAAGUGAAAUAAUGUUGAUUAUAACUGAAAACCUCAAUCAAUCAUGGAUAUAUAUUAAAUGACAUUAACAAAGAAAUACAAAGUGAAAACACUCGGAACAUAUAAUCUUACAAAUAAUAGGUGGACAAACUGGAAAACAAUGAAAAAAGCAGAUAGCAAGCACUAUAUAAAUCAAUCAUUCUAGAGAAGACAAGGGCCUGAUAAAAUCAAGGGGAUUUGGGUCCUUCUGGCAUAGUUGGUUUAGGCAGUUCUGGAAUCUUCGGAAGUUCAGGCAACUUAGGCAUUUCUAGCUUUGGCAAUUCUGGCAAUUGAGGCUUUGGUAAUUCUGGUACCUCAGGCUUUGGUAAUGCCGGUAGCUCAGGCUUUGGCAGUGGUGGCAAUUCAGCCUUUUCGACUGUUGGUUUAGGUAGAGUCGGGACCUCGGGUUUGGGUAGUGUUGGAACCUCGGGCUUAGGCAAAGUCGGGACCUCGGGUUUGGCAGUGUUGGAACCUCGGGCUUAGGCAAAGUCGGGACCUCAGGCUUUGGAAGUGUUGGAACCUCGGGCUUAGGCACAGUCGGGACCUCAGGCUUUGGCAGUGUUGGNN